AUUGAACGCUGGCGGCAGGCCUAACACAUGCAAGUCGAGCGAGCGGCGGACGGGUGAGUAAUGUAUGGGAAACUGUCCGAUAGAGGGGGAUAACUACUGGAAACGGUAGCUAAUACCGCAUACCAUCAGAUGUGCCCAGAUGGGAGUAGCUAGUAGGUGGGGUAACGGCUCACCUAGGCGACGAUCCCUAGCUGGUCUGAGAGGAUGACCAGCCACACUUGAACUGAGACACGGUCCAGACUCCUACGGGAGGCAGCAGUGGGGAAUAUUGCACAAUGGGCGAAAGCCUGAUGCAGCCAUGCCGCGUGUGUGAAGAAGGCCUUCGGGUUGUAAAGCACUUUCAGCGGGGAGGCGUUACCCGCAGAAGAAGCACCGGCUAACUCCGUGCCAGCAGCCGCGGUAAUUC
rnacentral:rRNA from 1 species